GGACAACACAUGUGCAUGUGUGCUAUGCACCCAUAACCCCAGAACAAAAACACUAGAGAAGAGGAGUAGUGUGCAUCUCAUCUGCAGAAAACGUAGUGCGUACAUCAUGUACGACAAAAACAACGCUGUACGAUGCUCCAUCUUCUUGCUUGAAAAUGCCCAGCAGCAGUUGUAGACACUUCUUAAAUCUGGCACAGACCUGCUGUUGUUGUUGACGGUUGUAUGGGGUCGGAAACAGCGCCCCUGAAAAGACACACAUUGCCCCCUAGUUUUGGGGAUGAGGAUACGUUCACGAAAUUACAAAACAAAUCAUGAGCUUAGUCUGAUUAAGCUGUGCAUGUAAACACACUGAGUGUUAUAGAAGUCCAGGUUUCUUUGAAAGCUUCUUCAGCUCAUAUGUAUCGUUGUUCUGGUGUCUCUCAUCUUUCUCUUGAUGCUACUCCAAAGCAAACUAGUUUCUGGUAGUUUUGGCGCUGUGAGCAGAAAGCUGUAUCUGCAGAUGGAAGCAUGAAGAGCUCUAAAAUCUCCUGGUUCGCUGCAGGCUGACUCUGAACUUGUGAUUUUUACUUUUCGAACUAAACUCUCAUGACAUCGUCUCUAGUUCAGUAAUAUCUUGACAGCAGGAACAUGAUACCUGUAGUCCAUUUUCUGUAUAUGUUUUUGAAUAGUGGCCUUUGAUGAUCCGACUCUUGUUUGUUUGGCAAUCCUCCGAAAGUUGCAGUCAUCCCUGUUGUUUUUCAUUAGUGCUGUUUUGCUUAACAAAUGCAACUUAUAUAUUCACUGUCCCGCUCAGAAAGUAGACCGCAUGCAGAAACACACAAGCAUUUGUUUAUUAUGACAUGAGCAAAAAUGAGAUAUGAUUGUCUUUUCCUUGUACUUGGAAUAUGAUAUGUGCUGCCUUUCUUUAAAUAUCAUCAAGACUUUAAACUUUUAAGUUUUCUGUGCAAAGGACA